GCUGUGAGGCAUGCUGGAGGUAUCAGAAGUGCGAAUGCUGACAUAAGUAACGAUAAAGCGGGUGAAAAGCCCGCUCGCCGGAAGACCAAGGGUUCCUGUCCAACGUUAAUCGGGGCAGGGUGAGUCGACCCCUAAGGCGAGGCCGAAAGGCGUAGUCGAUGGGAAACAGGUUAAUAUUCCUGUACUUGGUGUUACUGCGAAGGGGGGACGGAGAAGGCUAUGUUAGCCGGGCGACGGUUGUCCCGGUUUAAGCAUGUAGGCUGGUUGUCCAGGCAAAUCCGGAUAAUCAAGGCUGAGGUGUGAUGACGAGGCACUACGGUGCUGAAGUAACAAAUGCCCUGCUUCCAGGAAAAGCCUCUAAGCAUCAGGUAACAUCAAAUCGUACCCCAAACCGACACAGGUGGUCAGGUAGAGAAUACCAAGGCGCUUGAGAGAACUCGGGUGAAGGAACUAGGCAAAAUGGUGCCGUAACUUCGGGAGAAGGCACGCUGGUGUGUAGGUGAAGUCCCUGCGGAUGGAGCUGAGACCAGUCGAAGAUACCAGCUGGCUGCAACUGUUUAUUAAAAACACAGCACUGUGCAAACACGAAAGUGGACGUAUACGGUGUGACGCCUGCCCGGUGCCGGAAGGUUAAUUGAUGGGGUUAUCCGUAAGGAGAAGCUCUUGAUCGAAGCCCCGGUAAACGGCGGCCGUAACUAUAACGGUCCUAAGGUAGCGAAAUUCCUUGUCGGGUAAGUUCCGACCUGCACGAAUGGCGUAAUGAUGGCCAGGCUGUCUCCACCCGAGACUCAGUGAAAUUGAACUCGCUGUGAAGAUGCAGUGUACCCGCGGCAAGACGGAAAGACCCCGUGAACCUUUACUAUAGCUUGACACUGAACAUUGAGCCUUGAUGUGUAGGAUAGGUGGGAGGCUUUGAAGCGUGGACGCCAGUCUGCGUGGAGCCAACCUUGAAAUACCACCCUUUAAUGUUUGAUGUUCUAACGUUGGCCCCUUACCGGGGUUGCGGACAGUGUCUGGUGGGUAGUUUGACUGGGGCGGUCUCCUCCCAAAGCGUAACGGAGGAGCACGAAGGUUAGCUAAUCCUGGUCGGACAUCAGGAGGUUAGUGCAAUGGCAUAAGCUAGCUUGACUGCGAGCGUGACGGCGCGAGCAGGUGCGAAAGCAGGUCAUAGUGAUCCGGUGGUUCUGAAUGGAAGGGCCAUCGCUCAACGGAUAAAAGGUACUCCGGGGAUAACAGGCUGAUACCGCCCAAGAGUUCAUAUCGACGGCGGUGUUUGGCACCUCGAUGUCGGCUCAUCACAUCCUGGGGCUGAAGUAGGUCCCAAGGGUAUGGCUGUUCGCCAUUUAAAGUGGUACGCGAGCUGGGUUUAGAACGUCGUGAGACAGUUCGGUCCCUAUCUGCCGUGGGCGCUGGAGAAUUGAGGGGGGCUGCUCCUAGUACGAGAGGACCGGAGUGGACGCAUCACUGGUGUUCGGGUUGUCAUGCCAAUGGCACUGCCCGGUAGCUAAAUGCGGAAGAGAUAAGUGCUGAAAGCAUCUAAGCACGAAACUUGCCCCG
rnacentral:rRNA from 1 species